CAUCUCCCUCCCUCCCUCUCUCACUUCUCCAUUAUCACACAACUCUCUCUUUCUCCCUCUCUCUCUCAAUCUCUCAGUUUCAAACUCAAAGACAAUUCCAAGCAUCUCUCUUGGGCUCCAAGCAGGAGGGGAAGCCAAUCUUUUUGAGGGGAAUGUUGUCUGGCUCGAGGCCGCGAACCGUAGAUCCGCCAAUUUUUCCUCUCCAAUUGGAUCAAUUGUUCUCUAGAUCGUCGCAUCGGUCACCGAUCUAGCGUUAGCGGCGUCGGACCAGGCUUCAUUCCCCCCAAUUAUUGCUCUUCCAAUCUUCAAGAACGUCUCGGUGCCUGAGGUGCGAGAGUUUUGAGUAUGAUCCUCUCCCUCUCUCAAAAAGAUUCUCACGCCCGCGCGCACUCCAUAGUUUUGUGAGCAGAUGGGAGACAAGAGGCAAAACAUCUAAUCGAUACAAAGUGGUGAAAAGAAGACGAGGGUCUUGUUCUGCGUGGUAAGAAAGAAAACGAGGAAUUGGUAAGAGUGUAUGUAUGUACAUUGAAUAGGAGGGGAAAGAAGAGGUGCGCACACUCCAUACUUUCUUGAUCAGACGGCAGAUGAGAGACAAAACAUCUAAUCGAUACAAAGUGGUGAAAAGAAGACGAGGGUCUUCUUCUGCAUGGUAAGAAAGAAAUGAGGAAUUGGAGAGAGCGUAUGUAUGUACAUUGAAUUGUGAAAAAGGGGGGAAAGAAGAGGUUCACGGUCUGAACUCGACAUGAAACAGAAGUAGCAAUUCAUGGCUCAUAGAAAAGUGAAUCCACAAAGCCUUUAUCUUUUAA